rnacentral:rRNA from 1 species
UACGAAGGGGGCUAGCGUUGUUCGGAAUUACUGGGCGUAAAGCGCAUGUAGGCGGCGAUUCAAGUCGGGGGUGAAAUCCCAGGGCUCAACCCUGGAACUGCCUUCGAUACUGUUUUGCUUGAGUGUGGAAGAGGUUGGUGGAACUGCAAGUGUAGAGGUGAAAUUCGUAGAUAUUUGCAAGAACACCGGUGGCGAAGGCGGCCAACUGGUCCAUUACUGACGCUGAGAUGCGAAAGCGUGGGGAGCAAACAGG